UACGUAGGGUGCGAGCGUUAAUCGGAAUUACUGGGCGUAGAGCGUGCGCAGGCGGUUUUGUAAGCCAGAUGUGAAAUCCCCGGGCUUAACCUGGGAAUGGCAUUUGGGACUGCAAGGCUGGAGUGCGGCAGAGGAGACUGGAAUUCCUGGUGUAGCAGUGAAAUGCGUAGAUAUCAGGAGGAAUACCGAUGGCGAAGGCAGGUCUCUGGGCUGACACUGACGCUCAUGCACGAAAGCGUGGGGAGCAAACAGG
rnacentral:rRNA from 1 species